CCUACGGGAGGCAGCAGUGAGGAAUAUUGGUCAAUGGGCGAGAGCCUGAACCAGCCAAGUCGCGUGAGGGAGUACUGCCCUAUGGGUUGUAAACCUCUUUUGUCGGGGAGCAAAAGCAGGACGUGUCCGGCUGUGAGAGUACCCGAAGAAAAAGCAGCGGCUAACGCAGUGCCAGCAGCCGCGGUAAUACGGGGGAUGCGAGCGUUAUCCGGAUUUAUUGGGGUAAAGGGGUGCGGAGGCGGAAUUUUAAGUCGGCGGUAAAAUCGUGGGGCUCAAACCCAUCCAGCCGUUGAAACUGGGGAUCUUGAGUGUGCGAGAGGUAUGCGGAAUGCGUGGUGUAGCGGUGAAAUGCAUAGAUAUCACGCAGAACCCCGAUUGCGAAGGCAGCAUACCGGUGCACAACUGACGCUCAGGCACGAAAGCGUGGGUAUCGAACAGGAUUAGAUACCCCAGUAGUC
rnacentral:rRNA from 1 species